UGACACCGCCAUAUUGACAAAAAUGGCAGCGACUGAAAUGAAUGACACCGGCGUCAGCUUCAAGCACCCAUAACUUCCCGCUCAUAUUAACCACGUGGAUAUUGAAGGAUGCGACACGAAACGUAGUCGGUUAAACAUAACCGACCCUUAUAAUGCGCCCAGCAAGUUUUUUACGUCUAUCGAGUCAGCCACAGCGAAGAACAAACUCCUAGACCUACAGUAUCCGGACUUAUACAACUACCUCAUUAACUUCCUCUCGUCCUUCUCAGGAGAAUCUUUGAAAGCCUACUAAUGUCUUGAGGGGUACAAAUGGACAACGUCGGGAUUUGUUACGAACCUUCAACGUUGGUGCCUACCAGCUAAAAACAGCGUCGUCAUCACCGGAAGGGUGCGUCAUGAUUCCUAAAAGAUGGCUGACCCCGCAUUGAAGUUAGUGAGGAAUGAUGGAGUUGUGUUAGGAGCCCACUGCCAUUGCACCACAGGACGAGGGGAGACCUGCUCCCACGUAUCAGCUGUGUUGGUAGUUUGUGGCACCACAACAAUGGACGGCCGGAAGACUGUCAAAAGUGCAAGCGGCGCAAACCAAGUCCGGAGUCUUUGCAAAAAGUGGAACCCAAGCAAGGCAAGGACUUAAGUUUUACUCACUCAAAAGUUGACUUGUUCAUUCGUCUAGCUGUCCCACAUCUGACCCCGGAUGAGCAAGCCCAGCUUUAUAGCAGACUCAGCCAAUGCUGCAGACAGGAGGGAGGAGCUGUCAAGCCAGCAGUUCUCUCCGUCAUCCGAGACUACGCCUCAGCCUAUGUCCCGAAAACCGUCAUGCUCGAGCCAACCGAACCCCUCACAGAUCCCAUUGAUAACCAGGCGGGGGAUCUCAUCCUGGAAGAGUUACCCUCGCUGACAGGUAACGGUCUGCAGUGGUGCUACUGUCGUGAGCCCGAAGUUGGGACCAUGUUGGUCUGUGCGUCCGGUUUUUGUCCGGUGGAGAAGUUUCACCAAACCUGUCUUGGCAUGACGAGAGUUCUAACUCCUUGGAUGUGUCUUUCCUGUAGAAAUAUCAUCAAUGCACAAAGUAACAUCAACAUAAGUCAGUGAUAGGGUUGUUUUGAUACCAAAAUGUAUUUCGGUACUUUUCAAAAUUAAAGGUGACCACAAAAAAAAUCA